AAAACAUCUCUUCAUAAUUCAGAGGAACUUCGGUUGAGGAAGUCAUUGUGAAAUACUAUUAGACAUAAAAUACAAUUGCAGCAGCUUAAAAAAGACAUGAAAAGGACAGUUACCAAAUCCACAUAGUGAAAAUUGAGAUCUCUGUGAUGUGAAAUUUCUCAGGCCAGUUCAGUCAAGUGUGUUUCCGCCUUGUGAAGGCUAGAAGUGAGGAGGAGUCCUUUAAAUCAAGGGUAAUAUGUACUUUGAGAAAUCAACUAAAGAAUUAACACCACUUGUAACUGUGUCCGCUCUGACCAAAGGAGAAUGUGCUUAUAUAUGGGCAAAGUCUAUGCAAGCAGAGAUUCCUCCAAGGAGAGCAUCAUAGAUCAUGUUGGUAUGAGAAGGAGAAAGAAGAAAAUGCUUCUUCUGUCAAAUAUUACUUUAUCAUUAAUUUAUUUAUUAUGAAAACUAAGAUUUCCUCUUGCUUUCCAAAUCUUUUCACA